rnacentral:rRNA from 1 species
UAGGGAAUCUUCCGCAGUGGGCGAAAGCCUGACGGAGCAACGCCGCGUGAGUGAUGAAGGUCUUCGGAUCGUAAAACUCUGUUAUUAGGGAAGAACAAAUGUGUAAGUAACUAUGCACGUCUUGACGGUACCUAAUCAGAAAGCCACGGCUAUCUACGUGCCAGCAGCCGCGGUAAUACGUAGGUGGCAAGCGUUAUCCGGAAUUAUUGGGCGUAAAGCGCGCGUAGGCGGUUUUUUAAGUCUGAUGUGAAAGCCCACGGCUCAACCGUGGAGGGUCAUUGGAAACUGGAAAACUUGAGUGCAGAAGAGGAAAGUGGAAUUCCAUGUGUAGCGGUGAAAUGCGCAGAGAUAUGGAGGAACACCAGUGGCGAAGGCGACUUUCUGGUCUGUAACUGACGCUGAUGUGCGAAAGCGUGGGGAUCAAACAGG